AUGAAGGUCUUCGGAUUGUAAACUUCUGUUAAACGGGAAGAAAGAACUGUGGUUAAUACCCACGGGAGAUGACGGUACCGUUAGAGAAAGCCCCGGCUAACUUCGUGC
rnacentral:rRNA from 1 species